rnacentral:rRNA from 1 species
ACCUUAGAUGUUCUGGGCCGCACGCGCGCUACACUGAUGCAUUCAACGAGUCUAAAACCUGCUCUGAUAGGGGUGGGUAAUCUUUUGAAUGUGCAUCGUGAUUGGGAUAGAUGAUUGCAAUUUUUCAUCUUCAACGAGGAAUGCCUAGUAAACGCAAGUCAUCAGCUUGCAUUGAUUACGUCCCUGCCCUUUGUACACACCGCCCGUCGCUCCUACCGAUUGAAUGAUCCGAUGAAUAUCAUGGAUUGAGGAUGCAAGUAGGUUCGCCUAUCUUCAUCUUCGAGAAGUGAAGUAAAUCUUAUCAUUUAGAGGAAGGAGAAGUCGUAACA